AUGUUUUUGCAUACAAUUGGGCAUAACCUUCGGAAUAGGGUUAUUUCAGCCAAUUUUUGUAGAUCAUAUGGCACAACCAGCAUCUAUUUUAGAAAGGCUCUUCAUGCCAUAGGCAAGCUUCGUAAUGAUUACAUAAGGCCACCAUCAUCGGAAACUCCCGAAAAAAUUGCAGGAAAUCAUCAAUUUGACCCAUAUUUUAAGGAUUGUAUUGGAGCUAUCAAUGGUACACAUGUGCGAGCAGGUGUUACCAAAGAUGUGGAACCUUCUUUUCAUGGUAGGAAGGCCUUUACCACUCAAAAUGUGAUGGCAGCAGUAGACUUUGACCUCUGGUUCACAUAUGUGUUGGCUGAUUGGGAAGGGUCCGCACACGACGCGGCCAUUUUAGCUGAUGCAUUAACUCGUGAGAGAGGCUUACAAGUACCACCUGGAAAGUACUACCUAGUUGAUGCUGGUUAUGGAGCCAAGCCUGGGUUCUUACCACCUUUUCGUGGCGUGAGGUACCAUUUGAAUGAGUGGGGCAACAAUUCGGUCCAAAAUGAUAAGGAGCUAUUCAACCUUAGGCACUCAUCUCUACGAGUGACGGUAGAGAGGGCUUUUGGAUCUCUCAAGAUGCGUUUCAAAAUUUUAGAUGAUGCCAAACCAUUCUUCACUUUCCCAGUCCAAGUCGACAUUGUUAUAGCUUGUUGUGUUCUUCAUAAUUAUGCACUAUCACAAGGGAUCGAUGAAUUCAUUAUACCAGAAGUGACAUGGACCACCCAACCAAUUCGAACUUCAAGGCAACAGUUAAGUGAUAAUAGGGCCUUGGUAGACCAUAGGCUACAAAUUGCCGCCCAAAUGUGGGAAGAUAGGAAACUCAUGUAUGCAAAUUUAUGA
rnacentral:rRNA from 1 species